rnacentral:lncRNA from 1 species
GCAUAUACCAAGAGCUAGCUCAAUUAAAAAAGAGAAAGUGGUACAAACAAGACCAUACUGCACGUGGUUAACAUAAAUUUGCAGCGAAAAGGGGUUUGCAGAGAGACUUAUCUGUUUGUUUGUUUGAAAGUUCAGCACUCAAGUGAUGAUUUUCUCCCUCUUUUUGACCCUCUUCCAACGGUUACUUGCUAUGAUGAAUUUGUCCCCUUUUUACCUGCUUCAAAUUCAACUCUUGCUUGGUCAAUAUAAUCAUUCAAAUACUC